rnacentral:rRNA from 1 species
UACGAAGGGGGCUAGCGUUGCUCGGAUUGACUGGGCGUAACGGGCGCGUAGGCGGUUCGUACAGUCAGCCGUGAAAUUCCUGGGCUCAACCUGGGGGCUGCGUUUGAUACGUGCGGACUUGAGUGCGGAAGAGGGUCGUGGAAUUCCCAGUGUAGAGGUGAAAUUCGUAGAUAUUGGGAAGAACACCGGUGGCGAAGGCGGCGACCGGGUCCGAUACUGACGCUGAGGCGCGAAAGCGUGGGGAGCAAACAGG